UACAGAGGGUGCGAGCGUUAAUCGGAAUUACUGGGCGUAAAGCGUGCGUAGACGGUUACGUAAGUCGGAUGUGAAAGCCCCGGGCUCAACCUGGGAAUGGCAUUCGAGACUGCGUAGCUAGGAUGCGGAAGAGGGAAGCGGAAUUUCCGGUGUAGCGGUGAAAUGCGUAGAUAUCGGAAGGAACACCAGUGGCGAAGGCGGCUCACUGGUCCAUUACUGACGCUGAGGUGCGAAAGCGUGGGGAGCAAACAGGG
rnacentral:rRNA from 1 species